AAAUAUGUCCAAACAGCCAGAGGGGAAGUGAAUGACCAACUGGGUAGGCUGAUGAAUAUUUUCCUGGUAAAUGCAUAACUUUCCCCACAACUGUGAUGCUUUAUCCUUUGACAUUAAGAAUGCUGUUUGCAGAAGUAACAUUCCUUUGAACACUCAGCUUUCUGAAAUGGUGUCCCACCGCAAGGACUGGAGAAGGGCACCCUUGGAAAUGCAAUGCUACAUCUCAAUGGGAUUUUCCAGUACAAAGAUUCUUUUCAAAUAACAUAAUUGUGGAUACACACCACUCCUACAGUGGUAAACCUCAGGUUCUCCUCCUGCCUUUUGCUAAGUAUAUGUCUUGAUGACAAGCCUUCUGCUGAUGAGCUGUGUUUCUGGACCGAUCAUGGUAGAAGUCAAUUAACGUGUCCCUCACUUGGGGUUUCUCAAGGCUGCACUGAUGAGGAAACUGAAACAGAAAAUCCAGAGUAAAUUCCACCAGGCCACACAGCAAGGUCUGAUAGAGCCAGGAGAGACUUUAUGAAAUCCAGACUCUCACACUAAUGCUCUAUCAGCUAGACCUCCAUGUGAGUCUCCCCAAUGUAGGUAGGAAGUGCUUUCCCUAAAAUGCUCAUAAAGCAAAUCAGAGCAAUGCUGCAUUCCAUGUGAUUUCUAAUUUGAAAUGCAAACAAUUGCCAAUUUGUUUGACUUGUAUUUAUAAUUAUUUCCUUGUGAAUUACUCAUCACUAAAUGCUUUAUAAAUAUUUUCUCUUUUUUUCCUCAAUGUCUAUGGAAUGAUCACAGCAUAGAAAAUGUUGGCUUUCAAGGAUUUAUUAAUAUCUCCUUUUGAAAUAACAUGUAUUUGUAAGACAGAAUAAAAUCACUUUAAAGAAACAAA
rnacentral:lncRNA from 1 species